CGAGAGGCCCAAACGUUAUUCGGAAUUACUGGGCUUAAAGAGUCCGUAGGCGGCGCGGAAAGUGGGGUGUGAAAGCCCUCGGCUCAACCGAGGAAUUGCGCUCCAAACUACCGUGCUUGAGGAACCUAGAGGUGAGCAGAACUGAUGGUGGAGCGGUGAAAUGCGUUGAUACCAUCAGGAAUACCGGAGGCGAAGGCGGCUCACUGGGGGUUUUCUGACGCUGAGGGACGAAAGCCAGGGUAGCGAACGGGAUUAGAUACCCCGGUAGUCCUGGCCGUAAACGAUGAGCACUAGGCCGGAGGGCUGCACAGCUUUCCGGCCGUAGCUAAAGUGUUAAGUGCUCCGCCUGGGGAGUAUGGUCGCAAGGCUG
rnacentral:rRNA from 1 species